AUUGAACGCUGGCGGCAGGCCUAACACAUGCAAGUCGAGCGGAUGAAGGGAGCUUGCUCCUGGAUUCAGCGGCGGACGGGUGAGUAAUGCCUAGGAAUCUGCCUGGCAGUGGGGGAUAACGUCCGGAAACGGGCGCUAAUACCGCAUACGUCCUGAGGGAGAAAGUGGGGGAUCUUCGGAACUCACGCUAUCAGAUGAGCCUAGGUCGGAUUAGCUAGUUGGUGGGGUAAAGGCCUACCAAGGCGACGAUCCGUAACUGGUCUGAGAGGAUGAUCAGUCACACUGGAACUUAGACACGGUCCAGGCUCCUACGGGAGGCAGCAGUGGGGAAUGUUGGACAAAGGGCGAAAGCCUGAUCCAGCCAUGCCGCGUGUGUGAAGAAGGUCUUCGGAUUGUAAAGCACUUUAAGUUGGGAGGAAGGGCAGUAGGUUAAUACCUUGCUGUUUUGACGUUACCAACAGAAUAAGCACCGGCUAACUACGUG
rnacentral:rRNA from 1 species